rnacentral:lncRNA from 1 species
UUUGCAAGCUGUUUUGAGAACUUCAUACCUAAAUGUAACCCCACGAUCUAGUCAAGAGACUGAUUGAAACACAGAAAAGAAGCAAAAUUGACCUAUAAAUCCAAGUUCCAUUGACAGUAGGUAUUCAAAAAGACACACAAUAGUGACGCUCCAUUUCCACGAGGAGAACAAAAUAAGUCCAUUCCUUCUAAAUAGACAUACUAAGAUACCUUAUUAUUGCAUUCAUCUCCUUAACCCGAUCAUGUACUGGCAACAAGCUCAAGAGACAUGGAAGGAUAAAAGAUUCGAAUCCACACAAAAAAGACAUGGCAGAUAAAGCUAAAGGGAAAGUGGAGGGGCACUACUAUCAUCAUCAUCCUCUUUUGUCAUACUCAAAUGAGUUCUAAUAGCAAUGGUCAUCGAGGAAUCAUGGGAUUCGUUAGUUUUUGUCGAGCGUAUCCUCAUCGUUCUUUGUCAUUUGGGAAGCCAAAGAACUCAUGGGGAAGUCUCGACAAAUAAGACAACGUCAAAUACCACCAAUAAACAAAACACCCUAGGCCCAAAAACUAUCAAAACAAGAACAAAACAGGAAGCUUUAAAAUAAGACAAGCUAGAACAGGGCGCCAUCGACCCAAAACGAUCAAAGCACGCAACUUUAAACCCUGAAGUCAACCAUGACAACAUACAAGCAGCCUGAAACGAUCAAACAGAAUCAAACUUUAGCCACGAAACUAGCCUCAACAGGAUACCAGUAACUCAAACCAAAAUCAAAAGCUUGAAACUUUAAACGACAAAACCAUCCUUAACAAGAUACCAGCAACUCAAACAAAAUCACAGAACAUGAAACUUUAAACAAAAUCACAGAACAUGAAACUUUAACAUAAAGUCAGCUAUACAAACCUUAAGCAUUUCACAAAAAAUGAGAAUAUUAAAUUGAAAACCUACCAAAACAACUACCUACGACUAUCAAAGCCAUCUACCAGCAAACAACCCAGCAUACAAUCAUACUAAAAAAUUUAUUCACGACUAUAGAAGAUAGAGAUGAAGCAGAAAUAGAUGAAUCUUAAAUGGAAAAGGGUAUUACCUUUUAGGGAGCAGUAAAACAGGACUCGAGCUAUCGUCGGAUUCAUCACCACCGGAAAAAGGCUUAGCAGCUACUUCGAACAAUUCCAAUGAGCUUCAAAUUUUUACUAAAAUGAAAGUAUUUGUCGAUUUUGCUCAAAAUGGCUCACUUUUCCCCCCUCUUUAGACCUAGUUUUUCUAAGAACUCCCACAAUCCAAUUUUUCUCAACCCCCUCGACUUUCGAAUCCCUUUGCUUCCGAGAUUUUGAACCCAGAAAGGAGAGGACAGUCCCCCAAAAAAAUCCUCCCAAUUUUGAACCCUCAAAAGACCAUCCAAAAUUUAGAACCCCAGAACCCCCAGCCUGGAAAGAAGAUGAAAUCCCCCUAAACAGUGACCCCCAGGGCUCUUUAUAUAGAGGACGGAUUAGGGUCUUUUAGGUAUUUAGAAGAAAGAUAUUUUUUGAAUUUUGAAAUUCGAGAAUCUUCCCCCACAACCCAUUUUUGAACUCAAAUCGUACCAAAUUUUAGAUUUUUUCCAAAAAAAAUGAAAUGGGUGGACCAAUUAAAAAUAGGGUAAAACGAAUUUCAUUCCAAACCAAUGAAAAAUGACCAGAUAUGUACAAAUUCGUAUCGCGAUAUCCGAUAUUCACGAGAUUGGAACGUUGGAGGGACACCUGGCUUCAUCUCUAGAAGAUUCAAAGGUAUCCUCUGAGAAAAAAAGAAUGGGAAAGGGAUGUUUAGACCGUUGCUGAAUUGGAAACAGGUCAGGGAUCGGGUUUUUGCCGGGUCGAGUUGUCAUCAUUAUUUUGUCAUCAGUGGCGUAUUUGUACACUGGCUUUGGUCGUUUAUUCGAGUUUUCAUAGUUGAUGGAACUGUUGUUUUGUUUGUUGAGGCAGAUAAAGAAGAAAGGGGUUUGGGCCAGGUUGGAUGGUUGUUGGAUGGGUUAUUGAUUGUUGUUAAAUUGGGUUGGUGGGCUACUGACAUUAGGGAAUUGGGCCUGGGGUAGUGCUGAUUCAGUUGGGUGUUAAAAUUGAGAUGGAUAAUUUAGCAAAAUAGUUUCAAUUAACAUUUAACCCAUUCUAAUUAAAUUUUGAUCAAAUUAAAGACUAAUUGGCCAAAUGUAUUGCGAUUGUGUCCAAUUUAAUUUCAAAUUUAAUAGAUUUAUUAAAUUGAAUUUAAAUUAAAUACGAACUAAUACUUCUUUUAAUUCCGAGUUUCUUGAUUUAAUAAAACCAAACAAGUAUUCCUCCAAAUAGAUUAUUUGUGAGAAUAAAUUAUAUUUAAAUCAAGAUUUAAUUAUUUAAAUUUAUUUUUCAAAUAAUCCUUAAUUUAAAGUCCAAUUUUGAUGAAAAUAUUCAUUUAAAUGACAUCAUUUAUACAAUAUUGUAUAUAAAAAUAUGAAAAAAUAUAUAAUUAUCACUUAAAUGACAAAUUUAGCCCAAAUACCUAUAUUAAAAUACAUUUAUUUGGAAAAAAUAAUUGAUGUGAUUUUAUUUGAAAAUCGAAGAAACUCGAUAUUAAACGUAGUUGUGGAGGGCAAAAAUUAGGUGUCAACAACUGCCCCCUCCCUUUGAGUAGGAUGGAUGCAAGUAAUCCUAGGCAAAGGGAGGUUGACGUUUCUAAUUUUUGUCUGACCACAAAUUCGUAUCUAAGAGAGGUUGGUUUUCCACACGAAUUUCAUGGAGUUAUGGAUGAACCUCGGUAUCAAGUUUCCUACAUAUCUCAGGUUUCAUGAGAAUUCAAGCCACUUGUAGUUCAUAAAGCUUAAUUUUAAGCACGAUUUUCAAGAAAAUUAACCAACUAGCUCGGUUUUGGAGUUUCUGAUGGAAUCGAAAUGCUGGGGAAUAAAGGGAUUAAGGGGGAGGUUGGAAUGCAGUCAAGUUUUCUACAUAGAGCCCAGCCUACAUAUCCCCAGACUCAAGGAAUCAGACUGCUUGUAGUUUGACUCAAUCGGUAAAAAAGAUAGUCUUUUAUUUCAGACCAUCUUUGGCUCGGAAUGAGUGACAAGUUGAUCGAGUUGCGGAAAAGAGGCUUGUAACCUAUUAACCAUGAAUGUGUAAUCCUUCACAUCCAUAGGAAAUAACUUACCUGGACAUAAUUUCCAAAACUCUAAGUGUGUUGCCACCCGAAUUUGAAAGAAAGAGAAGGUUACCCUCGGCAUGAGUUUAGAAAUAUCCCGAAGGUGAAGCUAAAACUAGAAUAUCCUGAAAUACCCACAUUCCUUCUAACAGAGGUGUGGUUGGAUGGUGGUGGUGAUCAUCCUUUAGCUCGUGUCCAAAGAGUUUGACGUCCCUCUUUAGACUAUGUCUCGUUUUGCUGCUAAGAAAGAGUUCCACGUUGUGCUACGUCCUACUUAAAGUCAUCCGCACCUACGGUUUUGAUUUGAGAUUUUCAUCCUCUCGGAUUCUCUCGAAAAUGCUUCAAGUAAAAAGGGUUAGUGCUAAACAUAAUUCACGAAAGAGGUAUGUAGUCUUUUACCAUAUCUCCACGUGAGUUGUGGCCUGAAAAGCAGAGUCAUCUCUUAAUGUACCUAUUUGGAAUAAAAUAACCGGAAAUACCAAACAGAACAACCCUCUUGGUUAUUGUAUAAUUAUGACAUUUGUCGGUUGAAUAUGUCUUCAAAGUGGGUGGCCCUUUUGGAUACCAAUGAUACUUUAUGCAGAAUGGUCCCUACAACUGUGUAAUCUUGUGCUGGAGUGGCAACCCUUUUGGUUACCUAUAUCACUUGUUGUAUGUGGAAUGAUAACCUUUCCGGUUAUAGUUGAUGAUCGAUUUAUAAAUUUUUCUUAAAUUGUCAAUCUUUGGAUAAUCUUGUGCAUUAUUUGAUGUUGGAUACGGGGCAACUUACAGAUAUCCUUUAAAUUUCUAGAUUUUAGGUAAUCCUGCACAUUAUCCGACUUUGGAUAAGAGAUGGCUUACAAAUGUCCCUCCAAUCUCUAACUUUCAGGUGUCCCUGCACAUCAUCCGACCUUGGAUACAAUAUGACUUAUAGAUAAUCCCUCAAAUUAUUAGUCUUUGGGUAAUCCUGUACAUAAUCGAUUUGGAUAUGACGUGGCUUAUAGAGAACCCUUGGAAGUAUCAAUUUAAUAAUCUUGCAUAUUCUCUGGUAAGGAUUUAGUUGCGACUUAUGGAUAACCUUUGAACUAUCGAUUUUUGGGCGAUCUUGCACACUAUCCGGUUAGGAUAUUGUUGUGACUUACGGAUAACCUACAGGCUAUCAACUCAUAGAUGAUUUUUCACACUAUCCUAUUUCAAAUAAUAUGACUUAUAGAUGACCCUCAAACUGUCAAUUUCUGGGAAAUCUUAUAUACCAUUCAUCCUUAGAUAGCGACUUAAAGGCGUCCCUUCAAAUUGUGUGCUCUCGAUACAUUCAGAUGCUGAUUCAUAAAAUGAUGAGAUAUCCUCAACGCCAGCGUUUAUGUCUUGCGUGUCAAUAUAUAUAAAAUGAUGAUGAUAUCCUCGACUCCAGCGUUGUGUCUAGUGUGUCAAUAGAUAUAUUAAAUGUUGAUGAUAUCCUUAACGCCAGCAUUGUGUCUAGCACGUCAAUAGAUAUUGAAUGAUGAUGAUAUCCUCAACGCCAGCAUUGUAUCUUGCGUGUCAACAGAUAUAUUGAAUGUUGAUGAUAUCCUCCACGCCAGCAUUGUGUCUUGCAUGUCAAUAGAUAUAUUGAAUGCUGAUGAUAUCCUCGAUGUCAGCGUUGUGCCUAGCGCAUCAAUAGAUAUUGAAUGAUGAUGAUACCGUCGACACCAGCGUUGUAUCUAAAACGCCAAUAGAUAUUGAAUAAUCAUGAAUCCUCGAUGCCAACAUUGUGUCAUGCAUGUCAAUAGAUAUAUUGAAUGCUGAUGAUAUCCUCAAUGCCAGUGUUGUGUCUUGUGUGUCAACAGAUAUAUUAAAUACUGAUGAUAUCCUCGAUGCCAGUGUUGUGUCUAGCACGUCAACAGAUAUUGAAUGAUGAUGAUAUCCUCAAUGCCAGCAUUGUGUCUUCCAUGUCAAUAGAUAUAAAAUGGCCCUCUCGGUAAAUAAUAUGAAUGGACCUCUUGAUAAUGAUAUGAAAUGGCCCUCUUGGCAAUGAUAUGCAAUGGCCCUCUUGGCAAUGAUAUGCAAUGGCCUUCUUGGAAAUGAUAUACAAUGGCCCUUGCGGCAAUGAUAUGUAAUGACCCUUGCGGCAAUGGUAUGCGAUGGCCCUUUCGACAAUGAUAUGCAAUGGCCCUUGCGGCAACGAUAUGCAAUGGUCCUUUCGGCAAUGAUAUGUAAUGGCCCUUGCGGCAAUGAUAUGCAAUGGUCCUCUUGGAAAAUUUUAAAAUAAUUUUACCUGACUUCAUUUGUCAGCGUCUUGCUUUCUACAUGUACCUGUACUCAAGGUAGACGAUUAGUAGACACAAAAUCGCUUUUACUAGCGACUAUUUUUAGGAAACUUCUAAAUACAAUGUUUGUGAAGAAGACAAGGUGUUUUUGUUUGUCUCCGAUGAUCUCAAGAAAUGAGAUGGACAAAUAAAAAGGUCCUCAAUAAAUGGGUAUUAAACCUAUUUUUACAGCUACCCUAAAACACCGUUCUUGGGCAUUAAUGCUCUAUUGUAGCUCCCAAUUUCUCGGGGAUUUUUGAAAGAGACCCACACUUUUGUGUAUUGAUCCCUGCAUCCACAGUAAAAUGAUUAGUUUGAAAGAAAUUACUUCGUGUUGACCUUCUUCGAUCCUUGAUUUGUUGCUUGCCAUCUCUUGAACAUUCUGCCAUAUUGGGACUUCCAUCCUGACACUCCAUCCUAAGUGAUGUCUAGGCAAGUACUAAAUAAGUGAGUUGUAAGAUUUUUUGAAAAUAGUCUUAAUUUUUAGAACAGAAUUUCGAAAGCUUCUGUAAAACUUUAGAAAAUCUCUGCCAGUCAUGUCAUGUACUAGCUCAACGACCAUCUUUCUCUUGAUUCUGACAAUAUUCGACAUUUGAUAGAGGAUUGCUAGAGAUUCAGCAUUGUCAAUGCUCUCUACCAGAAUUUUUAUCAAAGACGGGGAUUCAGUCUUCCUAGACUUUAUCACAAGUGGUGAUUCUCAAAUCUCAACUUUGACCUCUAGUGCUAGGGAAUUUAAAAUAUAUUCCAGUAUUUGAUAUAAAUUUUGAGGCCUCCCUUAAAAUUUCUACCCCAGUUUAAAGUAGUCUGAGAUGAUAUCGUCUUGAGUGGAUCUGAAGUCUUUGCUGAUCUUUAUUCUCUUUGUUGGAUGUUGAUCUUCUCUUGUGAAUUUUCAAAAUUCUUUCUCAAAAAUUCUGCCUCAAUUUCUAUUUCCUGGGGUUAUAUGACCGAGCCAUUGGGGCUCCUACGUAUCCCUUUCUUGGAAAUUCAGGUCAUCACGUAUUUCAUACAUAAACGGAAAGGAUAAAUUUUUCUAAGGAGUUGACCGAAACCGACAUAGGCCACCUACGUAUCCCGUUCUUGGGAAUUCAGGUCAAACGUAGUUCGUACUUAAAAAGAAUUUUCAGGGUUAAAUGGCCCUGAAUACUAUUAUCUGUAUUACUAGGAUAUAAAUAAGUACCUCUAUGGAUGACAUGACAUUUGCAUUGCGUUUGUCUUGAUAGAACAAAGGAUCAAAUGUCCAAUGGAGUCAUCUCCUUCCUAGUUAACCACCUCGGUUUCCUGUAGAUUAGGCUUCUUUGAUUCUCAAACCCUUUGACUCUUCUGUUGAUGGUUCUAGGGCUACCAUUAUUUUGCUUCUUGAUAUGACAUAACAAUGGCAGGUUUUUAAGCUAUUGUUAUACGACGGGCGAUGAGUCAUGAGUGGAGUGGAGGAACAAUUCAAUAAUGUUUCCUCCAAUUAAUCUUUCAUGAUCCCGAUUGUCUUAGAAAAUUCUUCCCUCAUAUUUUCCCUUAUUCCAUCCUCAAGACUAUCGCUUACAGGUUUGAAAAAUGAUUGGUAGAGUCCAGUUUUACUACUAGUCAUUUUUCUUUUCCUGUAUCAAAACUAUAGUCAAGAAAGGGAUCUCUUAUUCAUUUUGAUCUGGUGAAGUAGGGUCAUUUUGUGCCAACACAGAGUAAACAUUGACAUGUUAGAUUCCGUUAGUAAUAAGUAAAGCAAGAUGAUAAGGUAGAAAGUAAACACAUAGAGUUGUUUCUCAUCUCAUGCGAAUUGAUCCAUGAAGUAAUAAUGACACAAGGAUUUCAAUGAACAGGAUUUUGCUCAAUGAUAUGGAUAAGUGAAAUUUGUCGGGAAGGUUCAACUCUUCUUCUUAGGACAACAGAGCAUUUGGAUAUAUGGGUCAGGCCGAAAGACUGCCUACAUAUCUCACGAAGGAGAAAUUAGGCCUACGUAGUUCAAAACUAUAAUGGCAUUUUCUGAUUCUAAAGUCAAAUUUCCUAAAAUGGUAGCGAUUAUUUUGGAAGUUGUAAGAAUGACUAUGGACUUUUCUAAGAAACUUGGGAGACUUGGAGUACUUUUGGUCGGACUUUUGUAUAGUGGGGUAUAUUUAUGCCUAGAGAUGUUCUAUGAAAAAUGGGAUUGGAUCAGUUCGCCUUUGAUUCGAAUCAACAUGACACGUCUAAGCAAAUAAACAGUUAUAUUACACCAGCAUAUUAUAAUAAAUAUGCAUCCUAAUUAGGUGACCCGUUUGAGCCAAGGGUUUAGGCCUAACGAAUUUUGAAGAAAAUAUAUGCCUUUUUAAAGCCAAUCCAUUAUCCCCCAACUUUAUAGACAGUAAAAGGGCAUAAAUGCUUACAAAAGAUAACAAAAGAGGAAUACAAUCUUUAGGGAAAGGGAAAUAACAUGAAAGAAGACACGUCCCCAUAUAGAGGAUAAAAAAUACUAAUUACUGAGUGCUUCUUCUAUCAACCUUCGUCUUCUUAGAUUUGUCUAUUUCUUAUAUUGGUGACAUCCGUUGACAUUCAAACUGUGCCUUAGAUGUCAAGCAACUAACCAAAUCAAUCAAUUUCUUGCUUGACUUGUUUCAAUUCUUCGUCAAUCGGUGAUUGAGGCAUCCUUAUACAAAAGUGAGUAAAGCAAGUUUUCUCCUGACCCCCAAAGAAUAAUGGAUUGAAUUAGACAGACAUAAAUUUUAUUCAACAUAUAAAUAUGAUUCAUCUGUAAUUGACUCGGGGUCAAUAGAUGCAGGACAGGUUUUCUAAUCGGCCCAAUACCCCGCUCGGGUACUGAGCCAUCCUAGGCUCAUGCCCAAAAUUAGGGUUUUGGUUUCGUUCUAUCCUCGGUGUCUAGAGUGAGUUUGAACACUAGUUCUCAAGCGGCCAACUUGAGUUUGAAAAUACGAAUAGCAUCAGACGACUCACGUGCUAAUAAACCGUUUGUAUUUUCAACACAUUAUUGGAAUUGAACAAUAGGGGCUGGGACAUCCAGAAAACCCCAAAACAGUUUAAAUAGUGCAGAAAUAUGCCAUGAGACGCGAUAGUUAAACUUUACAGAAUCGAAACAUAUAAACACAUAAAUAGUUAAUCAAAAGAUGAAAUCAAACAUUUGGUUAGAACCUAGUUAAAGAUUCCCCAACAGAGUCACCAUUUCUAUUUUACAGAAAAAUUUUGAGUUUUGAGAGAAGAGUCGCCACUUAAUUUUGAAAAGGAAUUAAGAAAUUUUUAGAGAGUUACUUAAAACGAUUCAAAAUAGAAAAAUCGUUCAAGUUUUAAAGAUUCUGAGUAAGCUACUCCUAUUAACGUUUUAGGAAGGUGUUAGGCACCUAAACAUCCGCUAACUUGCAGUUAUCCGGACUGUUUGAAAAUCGUCUUUGACUAACUUCGGAAAAAGUUGAUUUCUGCAAAGAAAAGCAAUUUUGGUGAUAUUUUAGUGUUUAUGCAAAACCAUUUUUUAGGUGACUUAGUUAGGGAUUUUAACUAAGUUCGCAAAGAAAAAUGUAAAUAAGUAAACGAAAGGAAACGGGGAGAAAAGCGGGGAAGUAGUGAUUUAGGCGUUCAAGCCCAAACCAUCUGCCCUGUCCUAAUCUAGUUCGGUUUUCAACCCAUUUCACCUGUCUUAGUCUAGUUUUUGAGCCUUUGGCUCGAGUCUCUCUCCACCUGCAUUAAAUUUACAACUUUGGUUUUGAGUCACAAAUGAAAUAAAGGAAUAAAUAAAUAAACAAAUAAAUAAAAGACGACAAAAUAAAUAAACAAAUAAAAGAAAAGAAAUGUUCUAAUCCCUUGGCCACUUCAAAGAUGGGAUUUUAAUCCAUUAUUCCUCUUUCGACUUCUCGUCUCCAUAUGCCACGUGCUCAACUUUGGGAUUUCAUUCGGGCUUGACUCGGAAGGAUAGGCCUCAUUGGCCCAUUUAUGAAAUUCAAAGAGAAAAGAAGCCCAUUUGGACUCCAAGGUGGGUGCAUGCAAAGAAAAGAUAUAUGAAUUAACACGCGUUCAUAAAAAUGAAUUACUUUUAUAACAAAAAGAAUUCAGAAAGUUCAAAGUUGUUUAAAAAAAAAUCAUUACCUCGAUACAUAAAAGGAAACUUAGCUACUAGAUUAGUGAUAUAUACGACAGACAACUUUGUUUAAUUGGUUUUGAACUUUUAACAUAGAGAUCAAGGAGAACACGCCAUAUUAUGCUGGACUUUGGCAUGAAAGUAUGCAUAUGCAUGAAAGAAUUCUAGUAAAAGGUCAGUUUUUCCUAACCGCAUGUGAUGACCAAUAGAUGAGAGCAUAGGAGGUAAUGUUGGUUUUGUUUGUUGCAGUAGGGGGAUGCUAUAACAUUUGUUAAAGGACCGUACAUUAAUAGUAAAUCACAAUCCACUCCUUUUGACAAAACGAUAGGUUCAGGUGCUUACUUAUGAGAAGGAAUACACAGAAACUAAAAAAAUUUUAUCAGUUGGCUAUCAAAACACUCAACUGGAAUGCAAAACUGAAGAGCUGAAGAUAAUUUCCAAAAAUAGAUACCUAAAUUUAUGCUACAGAUGAACCAAGAUAAGUUCGUUUCACCUCUUUUAUUGUAUGUUGUACAGUAUACAGGACAAUCCAAUCAACAAAAGCAAAGAGGGUCUCACUUAAAUCAAGAACACUAUUAAUUUCAAACACUAAAAUCGAAAUGCAGUCAUGCGCUUCAAGUAAACCAAUCUAUACCACACUAUAUGAUACUCUCAUGUUAUUAGGGACAGGAGAACAUUGUUUGCAAGCUGUUUUGAGAACUUCAUUCCUAAACGUAACCCCACGAUCUAGUCAAGAGACUGAUUAAAACACAGAAAAGAAGCGAAAUUGACCUAUAAAUCCAAGUUCCAUUGACAGUAGGUAUUCAAAGAGACAUACAAUAGUAAUGCUCCAUUUCCACGAGGAGAACAAAAUAAGGCCAUUUCUUCUAAAUAGACAUACUAAGAUACCCCAUUAUUGCAUUCAUCUCCCUAACCCGAUCAUGUACUGGCAACAAGCUCAAGAGACAAGGAAGGAUAAAAGAUUCAAAUCCACACAAAAAAGACAUGGCAGAUAAAGCUAAAGGGAAAGUGGAGGGGCACUACUAUCAUCUUCAUCCUCUUUUGUCAAACUCAAAUGAGUUCUAAUAGCCAAAAUGGUCAUCGAGGAAUCAUGCGAUUUGUCAGUUUUUGUCGAGCGUAUCCUCGUCAUUCUUUGUCAUUUGGAAAUCCAAAGAACUCAUGGGGAAGUUUCGACAAACAAAACGAUGUUAAAUACCAACAAUGAACAAAACACCCUCGGCCCAAAAACUAUCAAAACAAGAACAAAACACGAAACUUUAAAAUAAGACAAGCU